UAGUAGAGUUAAGGCUCUAGCCGAGCCGGUCAUGGAUGAAAAAAAGAUUUUGUCCCUGCUUGGUCUCUGUUUCCCAACACCUGUCUACCGCCUCAAAACUCCCGCGUCUUUCUUCUCGACACCUGGUCUACUAUCAUGUCUUCGCUGCGCAGAGAGGUGGAGAGAUUGAGAGAUAGCGAAGGAGGUGAUACUGUUUGUUGGCAUCUACGAUUCGUAUUCGAUCUUCCCUGUGUAAAUCUAGAAGUCUCUAUCUACACGGAGAGAGGCGUCUAUCUACAGUAAUAUUUGCUGAGCCAAAUUAUGGGGUUUACUGAUCGAUCAAAGCUGGAUAGAGUUUGGGUUCUUCUUGACGACGUUCAAUCUUCCGGAUUAUCAGGCACAUAGAAAAAGAGAGGAAGAAUAGGAUGGGGGAAGAAGGAAAAGAAGCAGAAGAGAGACCAAAAACUUUUGCUUGCUUGAGAGAAAACAAGUGGAAAGUAUUUUUUUGAUCUUAAAUUUUCUGAUUGAAAUUGUUUCUGGGUUUGAUUGUAGUGUGUUUCAAACAAGGAAAAGUAAAGUUUUUGUAGUGUGUUUGUUUUUGAUUGUUCACUUUAGAUAUGUGAAUUUGGGUUUGAUUUAUUGUUUUCUGAUCAGCAUCUUUUGUCAUUUCGAUAUCAACUAUUGGGAGGAUGAGACCCGUAUGAGAAUAUGGAUCCCAAAAUCAACUGGGCUUUAGAGCAGGCCUUCAAUUUGAAGCUUGAUUUCAGUGAGACUGGGGAUGAUUUUGUUGUUCUAAGACUGAUGCUCAGGAAAUGCUUUAAGGAGAGUUACAUCUUACAACCUGGAUAUGGGCUUUUGAACAUCAAGCCUGAAGCUCCACUGCAGAAGCUGCACUAAAUUUCUUUAUGACAUGCAUAUGGACUACACUGAUUUGAAUAAGGGAUUCAACAUGCUUUGGUCUUCCAUUUUUGUUCUCUAGACAAGAAUAAUCUUCUGUUCUGUAUAAGUUGAAUGCUCUUUCUCUACUGCAAGUUACUCAUGAGUUAUUGGUAGAAGACUCAUUGAGGCAGCCAAAAUGAGAGCUGGGAGUUACAGUGGAGAAAUAAAACGUGACUUAAGUGUGGAAUAGCCCUUACCGGAUGACAGAAUUUCCAUCACCUGAAGCUUUAUAACAUCAGAUUCCAGUGGGUUUGGACAAGGAACAGAUUUUUGGUAUGGCAAAAAAGGAGAUGGACUACAGGGUUGAGUUGUUCAACAAGUAAGUUUUAUGCAUUGUAUUUUAGUUGAUGUCACAAACGAGUAAUGGGGGUUUUUGCAAGUUAGUAUUUGAAUCCAAUUUCUUUUCUGUCUCAGCUCCAAUAGUUUGAGCAAUUAGUUCGGGUGCUUCUUUGCCAUGCACAUUGUCUUCCAUUCAUUCAUUUAUUUUGGCUUUUCACACUUGCUUCCUUCUAUUUCCAUUAGCUCUCAUACUUUAUUUGAUGAGCAUAUCUGAUCAUUGUACAGGACAACAUGGUUCAAUAAUACUUUCUGCACCUAUACUUCUAGCUGGUAUCGA